AAUCCCAACAAUUGAGAGACAUAAUAUAUAUAACAUGUUUAUAUGUUGAAAUCUAAACAUCUGAGACUCAUUAUAUAAAUAUCUUGUCUACACGUUGAAAUCCCAACACUUGAGAGUCAUUUUGUCUUUUGUUAUGACAUAUCUGGGUACACAUUUGAAAUAUUAUAGUCUAUUUUGAAUCACAGUUCAAUUAUUGAUUACUGUUUUAUCAAAUUGGAUUUAGAGUUGUCUUAUCUUGAUUUGAUUUUUUUUUAAUUUUAAUAGUUUUAACGUUUCUCUUUAUUUUAUUUUCAAGUCUUAGAUUAUUCUUCAUGUACAUUUUUUUUUAUUUGAUCGACUGAGUUUAAGACUUUUAGAUUAAUCAUGGCGUAUUUUAUAUUUUGUAAGUCUAUGCAUAUACAUGUAUUAAAUAUUUUUAUUACUUUUUUGAGUUUAAAGUCAUUGUAAAUGUAUAUAAUUCUAUUGUAAAGCGCCUUUGGACAUUUUAUUUUUUGAGAAGGGCGCUAUAAAAAUGUGGUAAUUAUUAUUAUUAUUAUUUUAGAAAUAUCUUGUAUACACAUUAAAAUCCCAACACUUGAGAGACAUAAUACAUAUAUUAUGUCUAUAUGUUGAAAUCUCAACAUUUGAGACUCAUUGUACAUAUAUCUUGUCUAUUUGUUGAUAUCCCAACACUUGAGGGUCAUUAGAGGAAUAUCUUGUCUAGACGAUAAAAUCCCAACACUUGAGAGACAUAAUACAUAAAUCUUGUCUAUAUGUUAAAAUCCCAACACUUGAGAGACAUAAUACAUAUAUCUUGUCUAUUUGUUGAAAUCCCAUCACUUCAGGGUCAAUAUAGAAAUAUCUUGUUUACACAUUAAAAUCCCAACACUUGAGAGACACGAUACAUAUUUCUUGUUUAUAUGUUGAAAUCCCAACACUUGACGGUCAUUAUAGAAAUAUCUUGUCUUAACGUUAAAAUCCCAACAGUUGAAAGAUUUAAUACAUAUAUCUUGUUUAUAUGUUGAAAUCCCAACAAUUUUUAGGUGGCAUUAUAUUUACCACUCUUGAAAAAUUCGCUUAGAAAAUACCCUUACGGUUUUUAAUGUACUUUCUGUCAUUUUUACGCUUUACGCUCAUUAUUCACACUGUUGACUGUGCUAGUAUUGAUUUUUUCAAGAAUGGUAAAUAUAAUGCCACCUAUGAGUCAGAGAGGGCUGCUGAAGAAUUUCAAGAUGCUUUAAAUCAUGUUAUAGAAAAUGAUAUGAAACAGAAACUAGCUUCAGCCCGCGCCAUUUCUCUAAUGUGUUUUGAGAGUGAUGUCAUGUUUCCGUUCAGAGAAAAAGUUGGUCAUAUUUGCUAGGUUUAUUCCUGAAUGCACUGACUCUCAGUCUGAAACUAAUUUUAUUGAGAAUGUUACUAUUGAUAAGGGUGAUGCUGAAACUGUGUACCAAUCAUUGAAAUCUGUGGUAAGUGAAAAGGGUAUAGAUUUUAGUAAUGUAAAGUUUUUUGGCUCAGAUGGAGCGGCAGUUAUGACUGGUAAAAAGUCUGGUGUUAGUGCUAGGCUUUCAAGUGAUCGGCCACUUAUUGUUAACAUUCACUGUAUGGCACACAAGCUAGCUUUAUGCACAAGUCAAGCAGCAGAGAGUAUUCCAUAUAUAUAAAAAAAAGUACAAGGAAAUUUUGACAAAUAUUUUCUACCAUUUUAAACAUUCCUCACUGAGAACUGCAAAUCUGUCUAAAAUUGAAAGUGUUUUGAAUGACAAACAGCUAAAAAUCAAGGAAAUUCACAGUGUACCCUGGUUUGCAUUUGAUUCAGCCCUUGAGGCAAUAUUUCACACAUGGGGUUCCUUAGUUACUUAUUUUGAGUCAGAAAAGCAAGCUGAGAAAGGUUGAACUGCAAAAGGGAUUCAUUCUCAGCUAACCCAGUUUGAAUUUGUGGGUGUAACUUGCCUUUUAAUGGACAUAAUGCCAAUACUUACCAAACUGGCCCCAGUUUCACAAAGAAUCUUUGAUAUUGUUUUGUAACUGGAAACAAUAUUGUUAUAUACGUCUUUGUCUAUUUCGAAAAAUAUAUGUAUUCAUCCGUCAUUCGUGAAUUUCAUUUCCUUUUUUUUUGUCUGAAAAUGCUAAGGUAAAUAACUGUAUAUAACGAAAAAAUAAUUUUGUAGUAGCUUUCAGAGGGAAAAUUUAUAUUUUUGUGAGACUGAGAAUAUAGAAACAUUGUGUGUAUAAUCUACUGUAUAGAUGUAUUUUAUUUUAAUUUUUCAACCAAACUCUUUAUGAAUACAUCAUUGAAUUUGCAAAAAAAAUCAUUAACGUAAAUUUAAAUUUCUGUAUUAAUACAAAAUAUCAUUCAUUGAUAAAUUAGUAUGUUAACAUGGUCUGUAUCUCUGAUUUUAAUAUCAAAUGUAUGUUUAUUCAAAAUAUUUUACAAAUAAAGGUCAACAGAAAAAUUAGUGCAGGAUUUACAUGUCCAGGAAGUGCCUGAUGUCCGCAGUGAAGUUUAACAGUACAGGAGGUGUUUGAAGGAGACAAUCUUAUUGAUAGCAAUAACAAUACAUUAAGCUAUGUGACACGUGGAGAGAAAACACAAAACAAGCCAAAGAAAACAAAUAUAUCAGCUAAAAGAAGACAUGAAGACAAAGAAGAUGAGUUGUAUUUACUGGAGAAAAAGAAAGUACAGGCAGAAAUUAACCAAAUUGAACAAAAAACAGAACAUGAUAAAGAACUUUUCUUACUUCAAAAAAAAAUUCUAGAGAAACUAAUCAACCAAUUAUAGAUAUCUUUCAGUCUUGUUGUAUAACUGAAAAGACAUGUUGUGUUAUGCCUUCAGUUGUCUAUCUAUCUGUUAGUCUUUUUGUAUUAUCUUUUUAACUUUUCUUGUUUACACCUAAGCAAUAUUCUUGAUGAUAUUGUAAAAUAUUCAUUCCAAGUUUAAUGUAUAUUUCCUACCAAUGUGUUGUUACUUCAAUCAUAUGAUAAAUCAAAAUAAAUAAGAUGCUUAAAAAAUUAAUUCACAACAGUAAAACAUCACUUUUAGAGAUGGUAUUUAUUAAGUUUUGUAAGUGUAAUAAAAACACAUCACUUGAUUUUUCAUUCUUCUUCUUAUUGCACAUGAAAGUUCACGAUUUAGGUAUAUCUUUGAAUCCAUGACUUUUUUUCUUUCUUUUGUAUUUCUGACAAGCAAAAGCAGUAAAUAAGCUUAUCUCUUGUCAACAUUACUUAUGCUGUUUAACACUAAGAUUUACUAUAGAUUCCCUAAACAUUAUAGACAUAGGGGAUAUUUGUUAGUUUUGCAUGUAAUAUUGAAAUAUAUUUCACUGAGUGAACACUAGAUGUCAUAUUUUCAUGAGUGGCGUAGCUGGUGUUCACGAAUGAAAUAUAUUUCAAUCUUAUAUGUUAAGCAAAUUUAUUUUCUUUUUAUUUCAUGCUUUAAGAAUUUUUACUGAUUUUGCCGCAUAACGUCGCACACUUGGUAUAAUUGUUAUAAUUUACUUAUUUAUGUACAGAUUUGAUUGAAAUUUGAUCAAAACAGGACUUGCUACCAAAAUAAUUUAGAUUUGACCUUGACCUUUUAUUGACCUUUACUCUCAAGGUCAAAUUAAUGAAAUUCUCUUGUUUUUUUUCUGUAAAUUGCACUAAUAACUUUGUUGUUUAAAAAAUUUGUUUAAAAAUGUUAUUUAAAAAUGGAUUAAAUUCAUAUAAAGACAUGUUAUCUUUUAGAUAAGGGCCGUCAUGUUUAUAAAACUCAAAUUGAACUUGACUCAUGUAUGACAUUGACAGUCAACUUAUUUUAUUUUCAAUGAAUAUUGCUAUAAUGGGCUGUAACUUUGUAAUUAAUCAAUGGAUUAUUUUCAUACUUUGCCAAAACAACCUUUUUGGCAAGCCAAUCUUUAAAAAGUUGAAUUGACCUUGACCUUAACCUUUAAAUGACUUUGACCAUCAAGGUCAAAUUAUUGAACUUUGGUUAAGUUGUCAUAAUUUUGUUGAUUCAUUGUUGGAAAACAACACUUGUGACAAACAGACACUUCGAAUGAUUUUGAUAUAACAUUGACCUUUAAAUCACCCUGACUGUCAAAUCUUUUUUUUAUUAUAUUUUCUGAACUUCUGCAUUUGUUUACGGAAAGGAUUCAUAUUGGACAAAACAACAAGUGUGACUAGACAGACCUAUUGAAAUUAAAAAAAUGAUUUUUUUUUCUUUAAGUUUCUUUUAAAAGAUUUGUUUGAAUUGUUCAUUUAUUUGCUCUUAGAAAAAGUGAUAAACUUUAGUGUUUCCCUCACCCAAUAAUUGCUCUUAAUUUCAAUGAUUUAUUUAUUUUGGAGACUGUGAUCAACUCUUUUUACCUUUGAAUUUAUCUUGGUAUACAUAAAUAGAGGAUAUUGAAUGAGUGUAGUUUAAUACUAAAUUUAUUGAACAGUUGAAUGAAAUCAUAUUAUGCAAGCAUUUUGCGAGCAAAAUAUUGUUUGAUUUAACAUUUUCAAUAAAUUUUGUAUAAAAUCCAUACGAAUAAAAUAUUCUAUUUAUCACAUAUAUAAAAUAAGAACAGUAAACUAUGAAAAUGAGUAAUUUUUCAAUGACUCGCCUAUAAUGUAACGCUAACAUUAGCGGGCUUCAACGCUAUAUUAUAUAUACCGCUAACUACGUCACAUCAAAGGAUUAUAACACUAGUGUAAUAUCGUUUUUAUUAAAUGGCUUUAAUACACUCCUGUGCCGCGGUUUAUGUGAUAAUGUCUUUUAAAGGGAGACACAGGCAAAAGUUCUUUUCUUCGAUUUGAAUUCUAUUUGUACAAAAUGCUUCAAGCAGUCUUAAGAUGUAAAUAUACUUAAUAUAUUUUAAAUGUUAUUUGUUAACAAAAAUCAGCCCUUAAUCCUUUUGUAAGAUAUUAAAAAUGUUAUGAAUUUGAAUUGCUGAUUUUUUUAUGCAUAUCAGACUGAAUAUGUAAGAAAAAUUGGUGAGCUUAAUGUUGCCUCUAUAUAAACAAUUUGAUGACGUUUUAUCUUGACUUUAACUCUUAGACAAUCAAUUAUAUCUCAUUGAUACAUGUAUGUUAACAUCAUCUGAUAGAUCAGUAUAGAAUUUGUAUUGGCUAUGAUGAUUCUAAAUCUGUGAUAAACUUUGUUGCUUUCUUAUUUACCUUGCUUUACCAAAAAUUAAAGAUUAAAUGGAAUAUAAAUGUUCAA